rnacentral:rRNA from 1 species
ACAGUAGAACUUUCCAGAGAUGGGAUUGGGCCUUCGGGAGUCAGACACAGGUGGGCAUGGCGUGUCAGCUCGGGUGGGAGAUGUUGGGUUAAGUCCCGUAACGAGCGCAACCCUUGUCCUUAGUUACCAGCACGUUAUGGUGGGCACUUAAGGAGACUGCCGGUGACAAACCGGAGGAAGGUGGGGAUGACGUCAAGUCAUCAUGGCCCUUACGGCCAGGGCUACACACGUGCUACAAUGGUCGGUACAGAGGGUUGCCAAGCCGCGAGGCGGAGCUAAUCUCACAAAACCGAUCGUAGUCCGGAUCGCAGUCUGCAACUCGACUGCGUGAAGUCGGAAUCGCUAGUAAUCGUGAAUCAGAAUGUCACGGUGAAUACGUUCCCGGGCCUUGUACACACCGCCCGUCACACCAUGGGAGUGGGUUGCUCCAGAAGUAGCUAGUCUAACCUUCGGGGGGACGGUUACCACGGAGUGAUUCAUGACUGGGGUGAAGUCGUAACAAGGUAACCGUAA